UCAACAUUUUUUUAAACAUUAAUAACACUUUUAUUGUUCAUUGAUGGGAAGAAUCCUCUGCACCUGAUGACCGUAGGGGGAUUGAGUAAGAUGGUGAAACAUCACAGCUGUAAGUGGUAGCAUUUUAUCUAAAAUCAAUAUACAGUGCAAACAGGAAGUUACCCAAAGCACCCAAGCCACCAUUUGCAGUA